rnacentral:rRNA from 1 species
UACAGAGGUCUCAAGCGUUGUUCGGAUUCAUUGGGCGUAAAGGGCGCGUAGGCGGCGGGGUAAGUCGGGUGUGAAAUCUCAGAGCUCAACUCUGAAACUGCACUCGAUACUGCUCUGCUUGAGGACUGGAGAGGAGACUGGAAUUCACGGUGUAGCAGUGAAAUGCGCAGAUAUCGGGAAGAACACCCGUGGCGAAGGCGGCUCUCUGGGACGGUACUGACGCUGAGACGCGAAAGCGUGGGGAGCGAACAGG